CAUAUUUCCCAAACAAAAUUUGGUUUGACAGAUUCUCUUGUGCUGAUCCAAAUCAGGUCAGAUGCCUGCUGAGACAUCUCAUAAGCAGAUCCCGUUUCUUUUGGUGUUUACACUGGAGGGUAAGAGGAGGCCACCAGGUGGACAGACCCAUCAGUGUGGCAUGACUAUCAAAGCUACAGGGUGGGACAGCAAUCUUCCAGAGAGUCUUCCUUGAUACUCCUGAUCAGAGACACCUCCACGUGUCACCUUGAUGACAGGGCGAGCUUGUUUCCUCCAGUGCAGCAAGCUGUCCCGGAAAAUCUGGGCCAAACCCCUGUGAGUAAAGUAGAGCCUGAAGGACUCCUGCUUCGGUCUCAGAGUUUCUCCUACACAUCUGCUUUCUAAGCCCACGCUAGAGGCUCUUCUUCAGGAGGGCACACAGGCAGUUGCAGGAGAGGGAGUGAAGAAGUAGCCGUGGUUUUAGAUGCAGGGAUGCAUCCUUCUAUACUGCAGACACCUACUGCCUUUGUUGCCUUGGCAGAGUGAUUCAGAGCCAAUUUCAGGUGUCUCUGGGAGAUCCUGUGCUGCCUCCUCCAACCUGCGCCACGUUACAGAAAUGCAGGAAUCACAAGGGAGAAUCCAGCCACAGGGGAAGGCGCAUAACACUACAUCACGGAGUAGAGCUGCCGUUCACCAGGCACUAGCAUGAUGAGGACCGCCAGCACUGAUCCAUGGAAAAGAAUUAGAGGAAAACAACACUCAUCUGGAUGGCUUGAAAAAUUUGAGUGAGAAAGCACCAGCUGGUCCAGAGAAAUUCGUCUGGUCUGGAAAACAAUCUCAAGACACUCUCCUUGAAACCUAGAGAUCUCAGUUGACCAUGGGUAACUAAAACCACAGAAAGCAAAACAUUGGAUAAAAGUAGACUACUAUAUACAUAAGACAUUUCCACUCUUCAAGCAAGAAAACUUGGAGGAUUAAUUGUAUGUAUAAGAUUUUAAUCCUCUGAUAUGUGUCCAACAUCAUUUUACUGAAGUGCAGUUCAAAAGCAACAGGAUAGAAACUGGAAGAUUGGGCAAGAUUGUACCUGGACUUCCUUUGCAUAUGACUGUUGGAUUGGAAAGGAUUUUCCUUUUUAACAACUUUUUCCCUUCCAAAUAUAACCCCAAGCUGCUCUGUUCACUUCUCAUUGUAUGCCUUCAGUACUUUAUGGAUUUCCUUUGCCUUGGAAUUGUCUAACACACGCUGCUUUGUGAUUGUCCUUUUUUUCUGAUAAACCAGAAGCUCCCAAGCACUGGGUCUUGCUGCCUGUAAGCCAGUACUUCCUAAAGGCAGAGAAGGUUUCCCAACGUGGACACUCAAGGGCAGAGGCUCCUGCCUUCCCCAACCCCAGUCCCUUGGAGAGGGGCAGCUGUUUAUCGGACUGAACUCAGUUGACCAUCCAGCCACCUGGGGGCAAACCAGCUUGCUCUUCACGGGAAGGAAUUUUAUCAUGGUGAGAUCAGAUUCACAGAACAGAGUCCACCGGGAACUUGGCUACGAUGCCAGGAAUUGUCAUAAUCUGGAGAAGCAAUCAGAGCUCUCAAGCUGCCUUUCAGGCUGCUGGAACAGAAGGUGCUGACAGGGUGGGAGUGAAGGAAGGCCUCCUCUCAGUUUACUCAUCCCGCAGCCGCCCUUCGCAAGCUGCAGCAAAUAUUUUGUGAUGUUGCAAGAUGUUACAAGAAGUGAAAAGCAAGCUGUGAUUCAGCUGGUAGGAAGACUCUGCAAACAAAAAAGGAGUGAUCUGUUUUGCAGCAGACUAUGUCUUCUGCCAGCGUCCACAGACUGAAAUAUUGAAAGAGGGAAUCCUGCAAGACACUGCCAUCGUACAUCCUGCAUUUUCUACAUGGACCGACUCAAAAUCUUUUGGCCUCCCUCAUACCGGCCUGUGGGCUGCAGACCCCUAGGAGAUACGGAGUUCAAACCAGGGAGCUACAAACCCAUGUGCAUGUUUUGUCUGUAGAUGGAACGACAGAUGUGCUUAUAUAUACGGAUUACUGUUCAAAUCAGCACAAAUGUCACUGUGAUGAAUGUGAGAAAUUAGUUUGCAAUGUUACUGAAUAUAUCUUUGCUUUCUGUUAUGUGUUUUCUUAAUCAACUGAUACUAAAAUAGUUAAUAUCA